ACACUCCUGCGGGAGGCAGCAGUGGGGAAUAUUGGACAAUGGGCGCAAGCCUGAUCCAGCCAUGCCGCGUGAGUGAUGAAGGCCCUAGGGUUGUAAAGCUCUUUCACCGGUGAAGAUAAUGACGGUAACCGGAGAAGAAGCCCCGGCUAACUUCGUGCCAGCAGCCGCGGUAAUACGAAGGGGGCUAGCGUUGUUCGGAUUUACUGGGCGUAAAGCGCACGUAGGCGGACUAUUAAGUCAGGGGUGAAAUCCCGGGGCUCAACCCCGGAACUGCCUUUGAUACUGGUAGUCUUGAGUUCGAGAGAGGUGAGUGGAAUUCCGAGUGUAGAGGUGAAAUUCGUAGAUAUUCGGAGGAACACCAGUGGCGAAGGCGGUUCACUGGCUCGAUACUGACGCUGAGGUGCGAAAGCGUGGGGAGCAAACAGGAUUAGAUACCCGUGUAGUCCCAUGAU
rnacentral:rRNA from 1 species